CUUUAAUGGAGGCCAAGAAACGUGUCCAGGCUAGUCACAACCACUCCAGGCUCCUCAGGGGAGAGGGCUGUUGUCUCCUCACUGCUCUGUCCCAAAUGUAUCUGCUUUUGUCUUGUUCCACCAGAAUCUCUUUGAGGACCUUGAACAAGAGUGGGAACCUCAAGCUUGUUUUUGUUUCUAAAUCAACAUGUCAUUAUGCUUUAGAAGGCGGAAGAGACCCCCCUGCAGGGUGCUCUUCAAUGUGUGUGCCUCAAGACUGAACCUCAUCUGUGAUCACAGAGCAAGGAAAGCCCCACACCCCCUUUUGGGUGCCUUCUGCUGUCGGUUGUCACAGAGAAGGUCAUGGCUAACUGGUCGAGGAGACUAAGGGGUUAAUCCCAUCCUAUCUUCUUCCUGGCCUCUACGCAUGCCAAACAUCCUUCAAACAUCACCUGGAAAUUACUGGGGCUUUAAAUCGAAAUGUCACCCGGCUCUUCAUUUGCACUUGCUCUGUGUGGCCCUCGGGACACGUCGUCCUGCGGUUACAAGGGAUGAUAGCCUUCUCCAUAACUCUCCUGUGGAUGACUUCAUCCGCCUAACAUCUGCCGCGCAGCACCGGCCAGCGGGGUGGGGUUGUGCCUGCAUUUCGCCCAGCCCGUGGGAGGUGGUCAGCGGGAGCCAAGAGCCCUUUGCUGUGCUCAGCACCAGCUGCCUGCAGGCCUGGGCAAUCACGCCGCACAGCGCCACCCGCCUUGCAGGCUGUAAGACGAGCCCAGAGCAUCCUCGUGCUUCUGCAUGUCGUCCCGUUCACCGGCUUAGAGAACACACAAAGGGGCCAUGGAGAUGGCUCAGCCAGUGGAGUGCUUACUGUGCAGUCACAAGGACUGCAGUUCAAUCCCCAGCACUGACGUGGAAGCUGGGCAGGGUAGCUGAAUGUAUAUAAACCCGGUUCUGGGGAUAAGGUCGCAGUGGCUGGGACAGAAGCAUCCCUGGCGCUUACUGGCCAGAGAGUCUGACUAAAUCAGUGAGAGGUGAUGUCUCCAGAAAGAAAGUGGAAAGCAAUUGAGAAAGACAUCUGACGUUGAUCUCUGUUUUCUAUGCACACAUUCUCACAUAGUCAUGCAUACAUACUCAAUGCACAGAGAGAAAG
rnacentral:lncRNA from 1 species